GGGGGCGCGCGCGGAGCAGGCGGAAGGAAGCGCGCCGCUCCUGAGCGCGCGCCCGGUGGGGCCGGCCGCGACUCGCCGCUCGCACGCCCUUGGGCCGGGGCAGGGCGCCCGCUGUUCCUUCCGCUUGCUGUGUGAGCUGAGCCGGUGUAUGUGCGGCAAUAACAUGUCAGCCCAGCUGCCCGCCGUCGUCCCCGCCGCCCGGAAGGCCACCGCCGCGGUGAUUUUCCUUCAUGGAUUGGGAGAUACUGGGCACGGAUGGGCGGAAGCCUUUGCAGGUAUCAGAAGUUCACAUAUCAAAUAUAUCUGCCCACAUGCGCCUGUUAUGCCUGUUACACUAAAUAUGAACAUGGCUAUGCCUUCAUGGUUUGAUAUUAUUGGGCUUUCACCAGAUUCACAGGAAGAUGAACCUGGGAUUAAACAGGCUGCAGAAAACAUAAAAGCUUUGAUUGAUCAAGAAGUGAAGAAUGGCAUUCCUUCAAACAGAAUUGUUUUGGGAGGAUUUUCUCAGGGAGGAGCUUUAUCUUUGUAUACUGCCCUUACCACGCAGCAGAAAUUGGCGGGUGUCACUGCACUCAGCUGCUGGCUUCCACUUCGGGCAUCAUUUCCACAGGGGCCUAUCAGUGGCGCCAAUAGAGAUAUUUCUAUUCUUCAGUGCCAUGGAGAUUGUGACCCUUUAGUUCCCCUGAUGUUUGGUUCUCUUACGGUUGAAAAACUAAAAACAUUGGUGAAUCCAGCCAAUGUGACCUUUAAAACGUAUCAAGGUAUGAUGCACAGUUCGUGUCAACAGGAAAUGAUGGAUGUCAAGCAAUUCAUUGAUAAAGUCCUACCUCCAAUUGAUUGAUGUCACUAAGAGGCCUUGUGUAGAAGUACACCAGCAUCAUUGUAGUAGAGAAUAAACCUUUUCUCAUGCCCAGUCUUCAAAUUUCUAAUGUUUGCAGUGUUAAAAUGUUUUGCAAAUACACUCUAGUGACACAGAUUAAAUAAUGUCCCUCAUGAGAAAUGUAUGAUCUUUUAAGUUUCUAUACAUGUAUUCUUAUAAGAAGAUUCAGGAUACUACCAUAUUAAAGUAGAUGAAGCAGGUAGCUUCUUUUUUCUCAAAUAUAAGUCAGCAAAAUAAUAUAGUACUGCCACCAGAUUUUUUAUUACAUCAUUUGGAAAUUAGCAGUAUGCCUAAUGAAAAUUUGUUCAGGUAUAAAUGAGCAGUUAAGAUAUAAACAGUUAUGCAUGCUGUGACUUAGUCUAUGGAUUUAUUCCAAAAUUGCUUAGUCACCAUGCAGUGUCUGUAUUUUAUAUAUGUAUUCAUAUAUACAUCAUGAUUGUAAUACAUAAGAAUGAGGUGGUAUUAUGUUAUUCCUAAUAAUAGGGAUAAUGCUGUUCAUUGUCAAGAAAGACGCACCUGGCUAUGUUCUGAAAUAUGUUUAAGACUGAUCUUGAAAACUAAUUUCUAAGAUGAUUUCAUCUCCUCAUAGCAUAGAGUUUACUUUAUACACAUGUUUGAAACCAACUGCUGUAGAAGAUGAGGAGUCUAUUGUAAUUUUGCUUUAUUUUCAUCUGCCAGUGGGCUUAUUUGAAAUUUUCACUUUAGUCAAAUUAUUUUUUGUCCAAACAUAAAAAUAGCAAUCAUUUUAAAUUGUCAAAAUUUCCAGAUUACUGGUAAAAAGUAUUUGAAAACAAACUUAAUGAGUAAUAAAGGCUAGUCAGAGCCCUAUGCAUAAAGUGUAGUUACCAGAUUAAUAUGUAGCAAAAAUGUAUGCUUGAUAUUUCUGAACUCUGUUAAUUUUUCUGCUGUAUCCCAGCUGACCAAAACAAUGUUAAGAAUGCAUCUUUAUAAAUGGGUGCUAAUCAAUAAUGGAAAUAAUUUAGUAAUGGACUAUAUAGGAUGUUAAUAAUGAAGCCAUAUGUUUAUGUCUGGAUUUAAACAUUUUAAACAAUCAUUUACUAUGUCAUUUUUCUUUACCUUGAAGAACAUAAACGGUUGUUUCAAUUCUAAAUAUCAGCAAGAUUUUAUUUAUGGCAAGAAAUAUUUUGUUGAAUUGUUGUGCUGUAACAUGGGAAAAUGUAAAUGUUUUUCAUGGUUUCUAUCAAUGUGAAAUAAAAUUUAAUUCUGACUUU